CCUACGGGUGGCAGCAGUAGGGAAUCUUCGGCAAUGGAGGCAACUCUGACCCAGCAAUGCCGCGUGAGUGAAGAAGGUUUUCGGAUUGUAAAGCUCUUUUGUAUGUGACGAUGAUCACAGUAACAUCUUAAGAACCCCCUGCCAAUACCGUGUCAGCAGCCGCCGUCUUACGACGGGCGCAAGCGUGGUUCGGAAUUACUGGGCGAAAAGGGAGUGUAGGCGGUUUAGUAAGAUAGUGGUGAAAUCCCAGGGCUUAAUUUUGGAAGGGCCAUUAUAACUAUUAGACUAGAGUGACAGAGAGGAUAGUGGAAUACCCAGUGUAGAGGUGAAAUUCGUAGAUAUUGGGUAGAACACCAGUGGCGAAGGCGACUAUCUGGCUGUACAUUGACGCUGAGGCUCGAAAGCAUGGGGAUCAAACAGGAUUAGAUACCCCAGUAGUC
rnacentral:rRNA from 1 species